rnacentral:pre_miRNA from 1 species
UCCAAUUUUAACCAUUUGUCUUAUUUAGUUUUUUUAAUAUAAUUAAUGUUUUUAUUGUUAUUACAUGGUAAUACAUGAAUAUUACUUUAUGCAUAACUAUUUAUUUUUAAUUUAUUCAUAUAUUUUUUUAAUAAGAUGAGUGGUUAAAGUUGGAUAUGGAAAUCCAAAGAUGAACU